rnacentral:ncRNA from 1 species
CUUGAAAAGAGCAAACCAGCCGAAAGGCUGGGACGCAGAGCAACGGGGCUGUGAUGGAGCGAUUGGGUCGCUCCGUCUGCCAGCCGUGCCGCCAAGG